GCCAGUGUGGUGUAGUGGUUUAAGCAUUAGAUUCUGACUCUGGAGAUCAGCGUUUGAAUCCCAGCUUGGGCA